ACUCAAAUGAAUUGACGGGGGCCCGCACAAGCGGUGGAGCAUGUGGUUCAAUUCGACGCAACGCGAAGAACCUUACCUGGGCUUGAACUGGAGUGGAAGUUGGCAGAGAUGUCAAUGUCCUUUACCGGACUGCUCUAGAGGUGCUGCAUGGCUGUCGUCAGCUCGUGUCGUGAGAUGUUGGGUUAAGUCCCGCAACGAGCGCAACCCUUGCCCUUAGUUGCUAACAGGUUAUGCUGAGAACCCUAAGGGAACUGUCGGCGAUAAGCCGGAGGAAGGUGGGGAUGACGUCAAGUCCUCAUGGCCUUUAUGUCCAGGGCUACACACGUGCUACAAUGGGCGGUACAAAGGGUUGCAAACCCGCGAGGGGGAGCCAAUCCCAGAAAACCGCUCUCAGUUCGGAUUGUAGUCUGCAACUCGACUACAUGAAGCUGGAAUCGCUAGUAAUCGCGGAUCAGCACGCCGCGGUGAAUACGUUCCCGGGCCUUGCACACACCGCCCGU
rnacentral:rRNA from 1 species